AAAAAGCUGAAAGACAUAGCUGCCAUGAUGACAGAUGACACUGAUGCCUGAAGGGAGUCACUCAUCAAAGGACUCUGCAUCUGUCUGAAUGAGAAUCCUGAUGUCUUGGUGCAGGAGUGCAUGGACAUGACUGAAGCCACUGCACUCAGUGCCAUUGAGAAAACAACAGUGGGAAUCUAUGUCACCAGAGAGAUGCCAGGCAGUGACUUUUCUGAUGUUGGC